CGUCAUACUUCUGUAAACAGCUUUCACUUUUUUGGAAACUUCCAAAUCAAGAAAAAUUGAUGUCUUACAUUGGCUAGAACCUCUGUUCAAAGGAGAUUUGACUGUUUCCUGGCAAUAUAUACAUAAAAUCUCACUUCUAGUGAUAACGGCACAAUAAUAUUAGAAGCAGUUCCAGACUUUCUUCUCAUUAAAGGAAUUUUAAUCACAUGUUCAAUUCUGACAGGAAAAUCUGAUCCAAAAGAAUUGAGGCCUUUUCAACUAUGGUGCUAGAGAAGACUCCUGCGAGUCCCUCGGACUGCAAGGCGAUCAAACUGGUCAGUCCUAGAGAUCAACCCUGAUUGCUCUUUAGAAGGCCAGAUCCUGAAGAUGAAAGUCAAAUACUUUGGCCACCUAAUGAGACGGACGGUCUCACUGGAGAAGAGCCUAAUGCUGGGAAAGAUUGAGGGCAAAAGAAGAAAGGGCCGACAGAGAACAAGGUGGCUGGAUGAAGUCACUGAAGCAGAAGGCAUGAGCUUAAAUGGACUCCAGAGGAUAGUAGAGGAUAGGAAGACCUGGACGAACGUUGUCCAUGGGGUCGCGAUCGGUCGGACAUGACUUCGCAAAUAACAACAAAUGUAAACUUAAAAUAAAAAUUAAAACAAUUUUCUCAUGUGUACAUCAUGCAAAAGAAAUCAUAUUGAAUAAAAUGCCUUAUAUCUAAA